ensembl:lncRNA
CUGCAGGCCCAGACCGGCCGUUGCGCCGUUGCUCCGGGCCGGUGACGCCCGGCACUUCCGUCGCACCUGCGAGCGGCGAGGGCGAGCGGCCGCGCCCGGCGCUGCCAGGCGAAGGCAGCGACCCCGUCUGGUCCCCGGGCUCUUCCCUGACGCCGCCGGAACCUGCGGCUGCGAGUGCCGGCCGCGGCGACGUCUGUGUGCGUGCUUGGAGACAUUACCUCAUCUCUCAAAAUUGCUCCUUGCAAACACAACUUUGAAAAAAAGGCCCAAAGAAAGAGUGAUGGAGUCUUGCAUUCUUGGCACACCCAACAAGAGCGUGCAAUGACACUAGUGUUUGCCUCUACAAACAAUCUGAGAAACUAUUGAGGUGUUUUGAGAAGUAAUGCUUGCAAGAAUUUAUCUGGGUCUUGGCGCAAGAUAAAUAUGACAACUAGCUUUUGAUAUUAUUAUUAGCAAACAUCUCUCAGGAAAGAAAGAAAAAAGAACUCUCAGAUGCUGGAGGAACAAAGUUAAAUUUGUUACAACCCUAAUAACAAUUCCCAUCGCUCUACGGAACCCCUACACAGCAUGUACCAUGUUUGUUACCACUGCUUGGAAACAGCUAAACUGAACUUCAAGGUUUUCCCACGGUUUUUCUGCAUAAGUUUGAACAGCCAAUCCUUUUCAUUUGUUCAACUACAUGGUUUCCACAAACAAGGGUGUAGACCACCCCAAAGAACUUCAGAAGACAAGUGUCUUGCCAGAUAAAAUCUGGACAACAUUUAAGGGAUAGAAGUUUUUAUCCUAAAAUAUUUAAGUGCUGAGUUUCAGCCAAGCAAAUAGCCAAACUAUACUAAGCAUCAAGAUGGGAGAAAAGGAGAGAAAACAAAAGUUUCAAAGGUGAAGGAAAGCAGGCAUUGGGCCAGAGAGAAUGCUCAACUUGUAAAGGUACCUGUUGUCAAGACGGAGGACCCAAGUUUGAUCCUCAAGACCCACGUACCGACUUCUGAAAGUUGUCCUGAGACCCAGACAACCUCCCACCACCACCACACAUACAUACUAAAAUAAAUAACAUUUUAAAGAAAUGUAGACAUCAAGGCUGGAAAAAAGGGAGCAGGACAAAGUGGAGGUGACUGGAUCAUUGCGGAAGGUAUCCGGUAGGAGCUACAGGUGGUUAGGAGGAGGAAGAUAAUGUUGGCAGCGUGCAGGCCAGGCUUGGCACGGGAGUUGGAGCAGGCUUGAUUCAGAUGAAAUGUGGGCUUAAUGCAAUAGGCAGUGGGAACCGCUGGCUUCUUUUGUCUGGGAAAGACUGCACUUUAGAGUGAAUAAUACAGGAGGUGAAGUGUAAGCUGAGCAGAGUGUGGCCGGAGGGUCAGUGAGACAGUUACACUCCAUUUUGUUUAGAGUUAGUGUUUAUCUAAAAUUUCUUCAUCUGCUCAGCAAGCAGUGACAGGGCAUCUAGUUGGCAAGUUAGUGACUUUAGGGGCACACCAAGAUGGAAAAGAAACGUGCUUGGUUUACAUUUAAAAGAAGGGCUGGCAGUCACACGGGCAGCAGUGAAGCCAGGCAACGGUCUUCCAGUGAGGUACCAGUGUGGUGGCACAAGACUUGGGGUAGUGGAUGGCAUCCUGCGAUGUGGGAAUAGACAUGGAGGCUGCAUUGGAAAUGAGCUACGGAGCUCAGGACAGAUCUGUCUAUAGGCAAGGAAUGCUGGCUGAGGUGUUGUCCACAAACAGACUUGGGGACAUGACGAAGAUGACAGGACAAAGCCAUGGAAAUGAUAGCGGCUGUGCAUUGAAGGCACAUUGUGGGAAAGGAUGCUACAGACUUACCCUUGUUACAGCUUGCAGAGAAGGUCCUCAAGAGUCAGAGUUGUUAUAACAAAGUUGGGCAUGGAUGGCUUCCAUGGUUCUGGGCCAUCAGCUUAUUUAAAAGAGAGUGGCAUCCAGCCCACCAAGGGGAGGCUUGGGGAAGA